CAGUCGCCGCGGUAAAACGGAGGGUGCAAGCGUUAUCCGGAUUUAUUGGGUUUAAAGGGUCCGUAGGCGGAUCUGUAAGUCAGUGGUGAAAUCUCACAGCUUAACUGUGAAACUGCCAUUGAUACUGCAGGUCUUGAGUAAAUUUGAAGUGGCUGGAAUAAGUAGUGUAGCGGUGAAAUGCAUAGAUAUUACUUAGAACACCAAUUGCGAAGGCAGGUCACUAAGAUUUAACUGACGCUGAUGGACGAAAGCGUGGGGAGCGAACAGGAUUAGAGACCCCCGUAGUCCCUGUCUCUUAUAC
rnacentral:rRNA from 1 species